rnacentral:rRNA from 1 species
GGACUCCUACGGGAGGCAGCAGUGGGGAAUAUUGGACAAUGGGCGAAAGCCUGAUCCAGCCAUGCCGCAUGAGUGAAGAAGGCCUUUGGGUUGUAAAGCUCUUUUAGUGAGGAAGAUAAUGACGGUACUCACAGAAGAAGUCCUGGCUAACUCCGUGCCAGCAGCCGCGGUAAU